GGGUGAAUUUUUGGACAAUGGGCGAAAGCCUGAUCCAGCAAUGCCGCGUGUGUGAAGAAGGCCUUCGGGUUGUAAAGCACUUUUGUCCGGAAAGAAAUCCUUGGCUCUAAUACAGUCGGGGGAUGACGGUACCGGAAGAAUAAGCACCGGCUAACUACGUGCCAGCAGCCGCGGUAAUACGUAGGGUGCAAGCGUUAAUCGGAAUUACUGGGCGUAAAGCGUGCGCAGGCGGUUUGCUAAGACCGAUGUGAAAUCCCCGGGCUCAACCUGGGAACUGCAUUGGUGACUGGCAGGCUAGAGUAUGGCAGAGGGGGGCUAGAAUUCCACGUGUAGCAGUGAAAUGCGUAGAGAUGUGGAGGAAUACCGAUGGCGAAGGCAGCCCCCCUGGGCCAAUACUGACGCUCAUGCACGAAAGCGUGGGGAGCAAACAGGAUUAGAUACCCCUGGUAGUCCACGCCCUAAACGAUGUCAACUAGUUGUUGGGGAUUCAUUUCCUUAGUAACGUAGCUAACGCGUGAAGUUGACCGCCUGGGGGAGUACGGUCGCAAGAUUAAACUCAAAUGAAUUGACGGGGUCAUAGCUGUUUCCUG
rnacentral:rRNA from 1 species